rnacentral:lncRNA from 1 species
GGGGAGCAUGAUCAUCUUCAUUAACUCUCUGACGAGCCGAUGGUCUCGAAAUGCUGCAAAAGUCAUUUUGAUGUGCAUCCUAAGUACGACAUACCCUCUUUGGAUGAUUCUAGAGGGGCAUGCUUAGUUGUGGAGGCGGAUCCCAUUGGUGCCUUUCUCUGAUUGGUGCUUGGUCCAGUGGUAGCUGAAGAAGGUCAGUGCGGCGCAACUUGGAUGGCAUUCGAUCUAUGUUGCACCGGCAAGGCCUGCACAGCGAUGGUAGGUCCUAUUUGCAUCACACCGAUGAUGACUACAUCAUUAUCCUGCUC